UACGUAGGUGGCAAGCGUUGUCCGGAAUUAUUGGGCGUAAAGAGCUCGUAGGCGGUCUGUCGCGUCGGCUGUGAAAACCCGGAGCUCAACUCCGGGCCUGCAGUCGAUACGGGCAGACUGGAGUUCGGCAGGGGAGACUGGAAUUCCUGGUGUAGCGGUGAAAUGCGCAGAUAUCAGGAGGAACACCGGCGGCGAAGGCGGGUCUCUGGGCCGAUACUGACGCUGAGGAGCGAAAGCGUGGGGAGCGAACAGG
rnacentral:rRNA from 1 species